GGGGAUGCUUGGUUUCGACUAUUAUUGGUUCGAAUAUAUAUGCAUGCCAAGUAUGAAUGUAUUCUUGUAAAACAUCAUUCAAUACAGAUAACUGGAAACAGUCUUUCUAAAGUAAAGUCUCCAUUUAUGGCAGGCUUUGCUCCAGCGUUCGCUUAAACGCCUACCUGGUGUCACAACAUUUGAUACUCAAUAAAAUGCUUGUGGCAUAAUCCUCAUUGAGUGUAGGUAUGUAGUGCCCAUCUCAGCGCUACGCCGAAAUAGACGAGAUUCGAGAAACUAUCAUUUCGUAUGAUUUUUAGAUACUUCUCUAAACAAAAACCAUACUAAGCUUGUAGACUUGUAUAUUCACAAUAACUGCACGGGGGUUCGAUUCCCCCCAUCUCCACAA
rnacentral:tmRNA from 1 species